GACGAACGCUGGCGGCGUGCUUAACACAUGCAAGUCGAACGAUGAUGCCAGCUUGCUGGUGGAUUAGUGGCGAACGGGUGAGUAACACGUGAGCAACCUGCCCCUGACUUCGGGAUAACCGCGGGAAACCGUGGCUAAUACCGGAUAUGACGCGCUAUCGCAUGGUGGUGUGUGGAAAGAUUUAUCGGUUGGGGGUGGGCUCGCGGCCUAUCAGCUUGUUGGUGGGGUGAUGGCCUACCAAGGCGACGACGGGUAGCCGGCCUGACGGGGUGACCGGCCACACUGGGCGUGACAGACGGCCCACACGCCUCCAGGCGGCAGCAGUGGGGGAGAUUGCGCAAUGGACGCAAGCCUGCUGCAGCGACGCCGCGUGCGGGAUGACGGCCUUCGGGUUGUAAGCCUCUUUCAGUAGGGAAGAAGGCCUUCGGGUUGACGGUACCUGCAGAAGAAGCGCCGGCUAACUACGUG
rnacentral:rRNA from 1 species